rnacentral:siRNA from 1 species
UGGCACUCCUUGAUUGGUUGAUGU